UGCUGGGACUUGGUAUUACAUUGUAAAAAUUCCCACAAAAACGUAAUAAACCCUUAAUUAUUCAAUAGUUAUUCUCAAAAUAAUAAGCCAUUCACACCUUGACUGCCUGAGGCAGUCACCAUGUAAAUUUCCUAGUCUGUUUGGGGAUUAGAGACCCUUGACUAGUCACGCUUUGAUAGAUUUAGGCACAGGUGAAUACCCUGGCCUGUAUCGAAGCCAGUGAUAAACAAUUAAAUAAUGUUUAUUUAGAAAUUGUACUCUAUGAAAUUUACUUCAUUUUUCAUAUUUUAAUAAUCAAAGAAAUAAUAAUUUCUCAACCACCUGCAUGUUCAGCAUUGUUUGAUUACCUUUCUAUUUACGGAUAGCUUUGGUGUCAAUCAUGAAGGACAAGAUUUAUCAUAGUAAUGUUAAAACAGCUUGGGUAACUGCUUGGACAUAGGUGACUAAAGGUGUUCAAUUAAAAAAUUGUCCGUUGUUUGGACAUGCAGCUUGGGUGUUCGUAAAUCUUGUCCACACAUACACUGAUCAAACUGUCCUGUGUUAUCGGCCGAUUCAUGCACCACAUUUACCUCAGUAAACAUUCUAAAAUCCCUUGAUGUGCACGUGAUUUAAGUGCCAUCAUUCAGCGUUAUAAAUGAAAUCUUCGUGCAUAAUUAUAUCUUUUUUAUGUGGAUUGCACUUAAAUUGUUCUCCGUGUUUAUCGUUGGUGAGAAAAGUGUGUAAGUGUUGGGUAUCGUGUGCGUUUUGUGUCUAUAGUUUUGUUGUUUUUUGGGUGGGAUUUUUUUUUAUUGUGUUGUGUAUUGUGUAAUAAGAGAACUUAAUAAAAACGAUGUUUUGUUAUUUUUUUAUACGAAUGUUGAAUACGAACCGGAACGAGUUAUUGAGAGAAAUUUACAUGAACGCAUUGUGUUAAAGUUGAACAAAAUGGCAGUCCAAACGAAUGCAGAAAAGCAAUGGUUUUCAAAACAUCCUUAUGUAUCCUACACCGAAAUAAAGAAAAGGGAUAAGAACAUGAAGAAUUACGGACAUUAAAGAUAAGGGCUGUUCCAUUAAAACAUAUGAGGUACCCGGGGAAGGCACUUUAAAAUUUGGGUAACCACCCAUAGAAGCAUAAAAAUGUAAUGAGGGACCACUCACAGAAGCACUUUUAGAUAGUGAGGCACCACCCAUAGAAGUGAAAUAAAUGUGAAAUACACUUUUUCUUUAAAUUCAAUAUGUAUGAAUGACUAUAACCCCUGAAUAGAGGUCUAUUUUCAGAUGUUCCCAAGCAUGAUAGUAAAGAGAAGAGUAUCUUGGGUGUCAUCACCAUUCAAAUAACUGGCCAUCAAUGAAGCUUGAUCAUAGAACCAUCAAUUUAUUUUAUCAAGACUGUCUUUCUUAACCAUGAUGAACUAAAUUAAUUUUAUAGGUCUACCUGUUCAUAAAAAGUCUAGUAUUGUAAAUGUUCAAAAACAACUAUUAAAAGUUUUAAAAUUGACUAGUAUUUUGAGUAUUAAAAAACAAGAAAAUGUGUCUCUUUACGUAAGGGCUAUUCCAGAAAUAUAUACAUGGGGGGUCGGGAGGCACCUUUUGUCUAUACCAAGCACCCAUAAAAAAAAAUAAAAAAUUACCCCAUGACCCAUCAAAUUAAUAAACUCAUUUUACAAUGACCCAUCUAAUAAAAAAAAAAAACUAACCAGACCCACCACAAAAAUAUU